UACGUAGGGUGCGAGCGUUAAUCGGAAUUACUGGGCGUAAAGCGUGCGCAGGCGGUGAUGUAAGACAGAUGUGAAAUCCCCGGGCUCAACCUGGGAACUGCAUUUGUGACUGCAUCGCUGGAGUGCGGCAGAGGGGGAUGGAAUUCCGCGUGUAGCAGUGAAAUGCGUAGAUAUGCGGAGGAACACCGAUGGCGAAGGCAAUCCCCCUGGGCCUGCACUGACGCUCAUGCACGAAAGCGUGGGGAGCAAACAGG
rnacentral:rRNA from 1 species